AACGUACGCUGGCGGCACGCCUAACACAUGCAAGUCGAACGAAGUAGCAAUACUUAGUGGCAGACGGGUGAGUAACAUGUAGGUAUCUACCCUUUGGCCUGGAAUAACACGAGGAAACUUGUGCUAAUACCGGAUAAGUCUUUACGGAGAAAGCUUUAUGCACCAUUGGAUGAGCCUGCACUUGAUUAGUUUGUUGGUGGGGUAAUGGCCUACCAAGACUGUGAUCAAUAGCUGAUUUGAGAGGAUGAUCAGCCACAUUGGGACUGAGACACGGCCCAAACUCCUACGGGAGGCAGCAGUGGGGAAUCUUGCACAAUGGAGGAAACUCUGAUGCAGCGAUGCCGCGUGAGUGAAGAAGGCCCUUGGGUUGUAAAGCUCUUUCGUCGGGGAAGAAAAUGACUGUACCCGAAUAAGAAGGUCCGGCUAACUUCGUGCCAGCAGCCGCGGUAAUACGAAGGGACCUAGCGUAGUUCGGAAUUACUGGGCUUAAAGAGUUCGUAGGUGGUUGAAAAAGUUAGUGGUGAAAUCCCAGAGCUUAACUCUGGAACUGCCAUUAAAACUUUUCAGCUAGAGUAUGAUAGAGGAAAGCAGAAUUUCUAGUGUAGAGGUGAAAUUCGUAGAUAUUAGAAAGAAUACCAAUUGCGAAGGCAGCUUUCUGGAUCAUUACUGACACUGAGGAACGAAAGCAUGGGUAGCGAAGAGGAUUAGAUACCCUCGUAGUCCAUGCCGUAAACGAUGUGUGUUAGACGUUGGAAAUUUAUUUUCAGUGUCGCAGCGAAAGCGAUAAACACACCGCCUGGGGAGUACGACCGCAAGGUUAAAACUCAAAUGAAUUGACGGGGACCCGCACAAGUAGUGGAGCAUGUGGUUUAAUUCGAAGAUACGCGCAGAACCUUACCAACACUUGACAUGUUCGUCGCGACUUUAAGAGAUUAAAGUUUUCGGUUCGGCCGGACGAAACACAGGUGCUGCAUGGCUGUCGUCAGCUCGUGUCGUGAGAUGUUGGGUUAAGUCCCGCAACGAGCGCAACCCUCACUUUUAGUUGCCAUCAUUAAGUUGGGCACUCUGAAAGAACUGCCAGUGAUAAGCUGGAGGAAGGUGGGGAUGACGUCAAGUCCUCAUGGCCCUUACGUGUUGGGCUACACACGUGCUACAAUGGUAUCUACAACAGGAAGCAAGACUGCGAAGUUAAGCAAAUCCCUAAAAGAUACCUCAGUUCGGAUUGCACUCUGCAACUCGAGUGCAUGAAGCUGGAAUUACUAGUAAUCGUGGAUCAGCGUGCCACGGUGAAUGCGUUCCCGGGUCU
rnacentral:rRNA from 1 species